GGGACACGUGGUAUCCUGUCUGAAUAUGGGGGGACCAUCCUCCAAGGCUAAAUACUCCUGACUGACCGAUAGUGAACCAGUACCGUGAGGGAAAGGCGAAAAGAACCCCGGCGAGGGGAGUGAAAAAGAACCUGAAACCGUGUACGUACAAGCAGUGGGAGCACGCUUAGGCGUGUGACUGCGUACCUUUUGUAUAAUGGGUCAGCGACUUAUAUUCUGUAGCAAGGUUAACCGAAUAGGGGAGCCGAAGGGAAACCGAGUCUUAACUGGGCGUUAAGUUGCAGGGUAUAGACCCGAAACCCGGUGAUCUAGCCAUGGGCAGGUUGAAGGUUGGGUAACACUAACUGGAGGACCGAACCGACUAAUGUUGAAAAAUUAGCGGAUGACUUGUGGCUGGGGGUGAAAGGCCAAUCAAACCGGGAGAUAGCUGGUUCUCCCCGAAAGCUAUUUAGGUAGCGCCUCGUGAAUUCAUCUCCGGGGGUAGAGCACUGUUUCGGCAAGGGGGUCAUCCCGACUUACCAACCCGAUGCAAACUGCGAAUACCGGAGAAUGUUAUCACGGGAGACACACGGCGGGUGCUAACGUCCGUCGUGAAGAGGGAAACAACCCAGACCGCCAGCUAAGGUCCCAAAGUCAUGGUUAAGUGGGAAACGAUGUGGGAAGGCCCAGACAGCCAGGAUGUUGGCUUAGAAGCAGCCAUCAUUUAAAGAAAGCGUAAUAGCUCACUGGUCGAGUCGGCCUGCGCGGAAGAUGUAACGGGGCUAAACCAUGCACCGAAGCUGCGGCAGCGACGCUUAUGCGUUGUUGGGUAGGGGAGCGUUCUGUAAGCCUGUGAAGGUGUGCUGUGAGGCAUGCUGGAGGUAUCAGAAGUGCGAAUGCUGACAUAAGUAACGAUAAAGCGGGUGAAAAGCCCGCUCGCCGGAAGACCAAGGGUUCCUGUCCAACGUUAAUCGGGGCAGGGUGAGUCGACCCCUAAGGCGAGGCCGAAAGGCGUAGUCGAUGGGAAACAGGUUAAUAUUCCUGUACUUGGUGUUACUGCGAAGGGGGGACGGAGAAGGCUAUGUUGGCCGGGCGACGGUUGUCCCGGUUUAAGCGUGUAGGCUGGUUUUCCAGGCAAAUCCGGAAAAUCAAGGCUGAGGCGUGAUGACGAGGCACUACGGUGCUGAAGCAACAAAUGCCCUGCUUCCAGGAAAAGCCUCUAAGCAUCAGGUAACAUCAAAUCGUACCCCAAACCGACACAGGUGGUCAGGUAGAGAAUACCAAGGCGCUUGAGAGAACUCGGGUGAAGGAACUAGGCAAAAUGGUGCCGUAACUUCGGGAGAAGGCACGCUGAUAUGUAGGUGAAGCGACUUGCUCGUGGAGCUGAAAUCAGUCGAAGAUACCAGCUGGCUGCAACUGUUUAUUAAAAACACAGCACUGUGCAAACACGAAAGUGGACGUAUACGGUGUGACGCCUGCCCGGUGCCGGAAGGUUAAUUGAUGGGGUCAGCGCAAGCGAAGCUCUUGAUCGAAGCCCCGGUAAACGGCGGCCGUAACUAUAACGGUCCUAAGGUAGCGAAAUUCCUUGUCGGGUAAGUUCCGACCUGCACGAAUGGCGUAAUGAUGGCCAGGCUGUCUCCACCCGAGACUCAGUGAAAUUGAACUCGCUGUGAAGAUGCAGUGUACCCGCGGCAAGACGGAAAGACCCCGUGAACCUUUACUAUAGCUUGACACUGAACAUUGAGCCUUGAUGUGUAGGAUAGG
rnacentral:rRNA from 1 species